GAUGAACGCUGGCGGCGUGCCUAAUACAUGCAAGUCGAACGCACAGCGAAAGGUGCUUGCACCUUUCAAGUGAGUGGCGAACGGGUGAGUAACACGUGGACAACCUGCCUCAAGGCUGGGGAUAACAUUUGGAAACAGAUGCUAAUACCGAAUAAAACUCAGUGUCGCAUGACACAAAGUUAAAAGGCGCUUUGGCGUCACCUAGCGAUGGAUCCGCGGUGCAUUAGUUAGUUGGUGGGGUAAAGGCCUACCAAGACAAUGAUGCAUAGCCGAGUUGAGAGACUGAUCGGCCACAUUGGGACUGAGACACGGCCCAAACUCCUACGGGAGGCUGCAGUAGGGAAUCUUCCACAAUGGGCGAAAGCCUGAUGGAGCAACGCCGCGUGUGUGAUGAAGGCUUUCGGGUCGUAAAGCACUGUUGUAUGGGAAGAACAGCUAGAAUAGGGAAUGAUUUUAGUUUGACGGUACCAUACCAGAAAGGGACGGCUAACUACGUGCCAGCCGCCGCCGUAA
rnacentral:rRNA from 1 species